rnacentral:rRNA from 1 species
AGUGAACGCUGGCGGUAGGCCUAACACAUGCAAGUCGAACGGCAGCACAGUAAGAGCUUGCUCUUACGGGUGGCGAGUGGCGGACGGGUGAGGAAUACAUCGGACUCUACUUUUUCGUGGGGGAUAACGUAGGGAAACUUACUCUAAUACCGCAUACGACCUACCGUUGAAAGCAGGGGAUCUUCGGACCUUGCGCGAUUGAAUGAGCCGAUGUCGGAUUAGCUAGUUGGCGGGGUAAAGGCCCACCAAGGCGACGAUCCGUAGCUGGUCUGAGAGAAUGAUCAGCCACACUGGAACUGAGACACGGUCCAUACUCCUACGGGAGGCAGCAGUGUGGAAUAUUGGGCAAUGGGCGCAAGCCUGAUCCAGCCAUACCGCGUGGGUGAAGAAGGCCUUCGGGUUGUAAAGCCCUUUUGUUGGGAAAGAAAAGCAGCAGGUUAAUACCACGCUGUUCUGACGGUACCCAAAGAAUAAGCACCGGCUAACUUCGUG